rnacentral:lncRNA from 1 species
AAGAUAAAAAAUAAAUUGUAACAACAAGUCCUAACAACUCUAAUAUAUUUCUUAAAUAAAUUAAAAUUAAAGAUAAAUAAAUAUAAUCAAACAUUGAUCAAAUUCAAUAAAAAUUUCAAAAGAAUUGUAUAAGAAAUACAAAGUAUUCUUAGAAAUCCUUUAAAGAAUCAUAAAGAAAUAAUAUAGAAUUUAAAAAAUAUAUUAAAAUAGAAAUCUUAAUUAAAUCUUAGUCAAAACUUAAUCAAAUCUUAAAUAAAUCUUAGUCAAAUCCUAAACAAAAUCUAACCAAAUCCUAAACAAAUCCUAACCAAAUUUUAACCAAAUCCUAAAAAAAUCCUUAUCAAAUCCUAAAUAAAUCCUAAAUAAAUCCUAAAUAAAUUCUAGUCAAAUCUUAACUAAUUUUUAAUCAAAUCCUAAACAAAUCUUAACCAAGUCCUAGUCAAAUCCUAAAUAAAUCCUAAUCAAAUCCUAAAAAAGUCCUAAUCAAAUCCUAAAUAAAUCUUAAUCAAAUCCUAAUAAAAUCUUUAUCAAAUCUUAAAUAAAUCCUAGUCAAAUCCUAAAUAAAUUCUAACCAAAUCCUAAAUAAAUCCUAAAUUUAUCCUAAACAAAUCCUAACCAAAUCUUAAACAAAUCUUAAAUAAAUCCUAAACAAAUCCUAACCAAGUCUUAAAUAAAUCCUAAAAAAAUCCUAAAAAAAUCUUAAAUAAAUCCUAAUCAAAUCCUAAACAAUCCUAACCAAAUUCUAAUCGAUUCUUAAACAUACCCUAAUCAAAUCCUAAAUAAUUCCAAGUAAUUCUAACAAUAGAUUUAAACCUCAAUAAUUAAUGAAUGAACCAUUGAUUUUAACUCAAAGUUUUGUACACAUCUUAAAAAUUAAGUUGAAAACAAGCAUAAAAGUUUUGAAGAAGAUCGAACUCACCAAAAAGUAGAUCAACCCUAAUAUUUGCUCAGAUGUUGGCCAGCCUCCUUCUCCAAUCUGAAUGUUGAAUUUUCAGGGCUAAUAUCUCCUAAUUAAAUUAUUAUAUUGAUCAUAAAUUUUUUUAAUAUGUAGUAGAAUAAGUCUACUACCUACAUAUAUAAUUUUUACUCUAAUCCA